GAUGAACGCUGGCGGCGUGCCUAAUACAUGCAAGUCGAGCGAACGGACGAGAAGCUUGCUUCUCUGAUGUUAGCGGCGGACGGGUGAGUAACACGUGGAUAACCUACCUAUAAGACUGGGAUAACUUCGGGAAACCGUAGCUAAUACCGGAUAAUAUUUUGAACCGCAUGGUUCAAAAGUGAAAGACGGUCUUGCUGUCACUUAUAGAUGGAUCCGCGCUGCAUUAGCUAGUUGGUAAGGUAACGGCUUACCAAGGCAACGAUGCAUAGCCGACCUGAGAGGGUGCUCGGCCACACUGGAACUGAGACACGGUCCAGACUCCUACGGGAGGCAGCAGUAGGGAAUCUUCCGCGAUGGGCGAAAGCCUGACGGAGCAACGCCGCGUGAGUGCUGAAGGUCUUCGGAUCGUAAAACUCUGUUAUUAGGGAAGAACAUAUGUGUAAGUAACUGUGCACAUCUUGACGGUACCUAAUCAGAAAGCCACGGCUAACUACGUG
rnacentral:rRNA from 1 species